AUAGAUUGUGAGAAAACCUCCAAAAAUUAUAUUGAUGUCACUCGGCCACCAACUUGAAAAGUGAAGCAGAAAUCCUAGUAGUGAUUUUUUCUUUUUCAACCAUUAACUUUGUCUCAAAAUUGGUGUGUAGUUUGAUCUUUAAGUCCUUCAAUACUAUGCCAAACUUCACCUUGAUUCAAUUCUUAGAUCUUCAAAUAUCACAGAAAUCCUAUCCAACCUCAAACUGCCACCUUCUAAAAUCCUCUUGUACUAAAAACUAGAUAUCUCUAAACCACGCCAUUAGAUUAUCACAAAAUUUUGUAUACACUUAGCACAUCCAAUAAUUCAAACAGUAUCAAAUUUUUAAUUAUAGAUGUUAUGUCA
rnacentral:lncRNA from 1 species